rnacentral:rRNA from 1 species
AGGACGAACGCUGGCGGCGUGCUUAACACAUGCAAGUCGAGCGGAAAGGCCUUUCGGGGUACUCGAGCGGCGAACGGGUGAGUAACACGUGAGUAAUCUGCCCAUCGCUUCAGGAUAGCCAUCGGAAACGGUGAUUAAUACUGGAUAUGACAUUCCUUCGCAUGUUGGGGUGUGGAAAGUUUUUUCGGCGGUGGAUGUGCUCGCGGCCUAUCAGCUUGUUGGUGGGGUAAUGGCCUACCAAGGUCUUUGACGGGUA